GCCGCUGUAGCUCAGUUGGUUAGAGCGCUUGAUUGUGGAUCAAGAGGUCCCCCGUUCGAGCCGGGGCAGUGGUACCA
rnacentral:tRNA from 19 species